rnacentral:rRNA from 1 species
GGAGUUAGCCGGUGCUUCUUCUGUGAGUGAUGUCCUUCCUGCCGGCUAUUAACCCGCAGGCCUUCUUCCUCACUUAAAGUGCUUUACAACCCGAAGGCCUUCUUCACACACGCGGCAUGGCUGGAUCAGGGUUGCCCCCAUUGUCCAAUAUUCCCCACUGCUGCCUCCCGUAGGAGUCUGGGCCGUGUCUCAGUCCCAGUGUGGCUGAUCAUCCUCUCAGACCAGCUACGGAUCGUCGCCUUGGUGAGCCGUUACCUCACCAACCAGCUAAUCCGACAUAGGCUCAUCCGAUAGCGCGAGGCCCGAAGGUCCCCCGCUUUCCCCCGUAGGGCGUAUGCGGUAUUAGCCUGGGUUUCCCCAGGUUAUCCCCCACUACCGGGCAGAUUCCUAUGCAUUACUCACCCGUCCGCCGCUCGCCACCAGGGAGCAAGCUCCCCGUGCUGCCGCUCGACUUGCAUGUGUUAGGCCUGCCGCCAGCGUUCAAUCUGAGCCAGGAUCAAACUCUGA